rnacentral:rRNA from 1 species
GACGAACGCUGGCGGCGUGCCUAACACAUGCAGGUCGAACGGAAAGGCCCUGCUUGUUGCGUUCUCGAGUGGCGAACGGGGGAGUAACACGUAGGUGAUCUGCCCUGCACUUCGGGAUAGGCCUGGGAAACUGAGCGUAAUACCGGACAGCAGCCAUUUUUAGUGUGAUGGUUGGAAAGUUUUUGCGGUGUGGGGUGAGCUUGCGGCCUAUCAGCUUGUUGGUGUGGUAAUGGCCUACCAAGGCGGCGACGGGGAGCCGGCCAGUGUGAGUGGACGGCGAUCCAGGGUCUGAGGGGAGGCACAGGUUCGGACUGGUGGCAAAAGGGGGGAAGCUUGAUGAAGGGGCGCAGGGUGGAUGAAGAGGGGCCGCGUGGGGGAUAACGGUCUUAGGGUUGAAGAAUCCAUUCGCGAGGAACGAAGCUCUUUGUGACGGUACCUAGAUAAGAAGCACCGGCUAACUACGUG